rnacentral:lncRNA from 1 species
GAGGCUGCCUGAAAGCAAUACAAGAUGGCCAGUGUAUCUGGCAAACUAGAAACUUCCUGAUGUAUGUGUGAACAUGACCAAAUACUAUCUAAUGUGCCAAACUGCUCUGAAAGCACAUUUGAAUCAGAAUUAAGUUCAUGCAUCUGGGCCAUCCUGCAGCUGCUUCUACAGGAACGUGUUUGGGUCUAUAGUAGCCUUACUUUCAAGCUUGACCUGUCUUCUGUUGCUUGUAUCUCUUUUGGAGAACUAGAAGACCUUCAAAAGAAACAGCUGUGGUUCUUAUAGUCAUCAGUAGUACUUCCAGCUUGUUUCAGAGAUGCAGCUUGCCCAUUCUCUUUCCGUGCUGCAAUUUGAAAGGUUGAAUGGACUCAAGACAUGCCAAAAUGAUGCACAUUUGGUAUCACUAAAAUUUUCAGCACUUACUGCUUGUCACCAUAAGCAGAGUUGUAACCACACAGGUGCUGCAUCAGAAGAGAGAAAAGCUGGAGCCAAUACUAGUGGAAUCAUUUGACCUGACCUCAAUGGCAAGGGGCAGCCCCAUGAUGUGAAGGCUGGAAGUUCCUGUGUCCAAGGGCAAAAGCUUUGGAAAACUCAGAGGGUAAAGUAGCCAUGCGUUUCUCGAGAUCUACAUUCACUUCUACUUUUAGUGGCUUGGACCAAACCUUAAUGUAAGCAACUGCUUUGGCAUGUUGCACUAAAAUUUUAUCUGGAUGGUGUCGCAAUGUCCUUUGAGCUGUGGGAGAAGACAGUGCUUGAAAUAUGCAUGUUUGAGCAAGUUCAACGCAGCUUGCUUUUGCUGGAGCCUGACUUUCUUUCCUGGACAAAGCCAGAGAUUUGUGGAGUCUAAUAAUGUGUCAGCAAACCAACUUGGCAUAUAGAAAUGAGAAGGGCGAGUCCCUGUUCCAGUUGCAUAAAAAUGUCAGUGUGUGUGGGGAGUAGAUGAAGCAAAUUAUAUUUCUUCCAUCUUGUUAAUGACUGUUGGAUGGACAAUGCAGAAGGAUCCCUUUUGCAGGACAAAAAGGCUACAAAAAUAAUAGAAAUGAACGUCUGCAGCUGAAGAGUUUGGCUGGGACUUGAAAAGUUUGCUUUGGGUACGAGCCAGGUCCUGCUGAGGUCUGCAGGAAUUUUGCUCUUGGCCUCAGUGGGACCAAGCUUUCACCCUUGGAGGCCAUGUCCUGAGGAAGAAUUUAGUCUGAAAUAGUUUUCAAAACUUGUAUUGUUUGACUCACAACCAAGCAUUUUGUUGAGACCGAGUGGCUUUGUAUUUCUGAUUGACUCAUGUUGCUCAUCUUAGCAUCCUGCAGCAGUGAUCUCUCAAGGAAAUCCAAGUGUGAGAGAGGAUUGCAUGUAAGGUUCCUAAACCAACAGCUUCUUGCAGGUCUUCCCAGGUGUCUGCUUAAGCUGUAUAUUUUUGGGAGGAGAUGUGCCUUGGAGCCCCAGCACAUCAGCACACUGCACUGAAGCUAUGGCUGUGACCUGUGGCAUGACUGGGAUAUGCCCAUCCAGACCCUGGUCAUCUUUGAUAGACCCAUCCCUCCAUUCUGCAUAUGAUUCUGUGAUUCAUGGUGAAACAAAUAUUUGAAGGAAGAACAGAGAACUAGUAAAGUGUUUUGAUUUAUACCUCACAUGUAUGCCCUUCCUUAUUACCCCCUUGGUCAUUUUUCCUGUAGACCUCAGAGACCACAUUGAAAAUAACCACUAUCAAAGUGAGGUUUGUGCCAUUCUUCUUCUUCUUCUGAUUAGAGCUAGGAUAACACAUUCAAAUAAUAAGUCUGAAGCUGGGCAUGGGUGGGACAACACUACUGUACUCUUAACACUGCAUGUUCUAGGCAGAUUUAACAUGCAGGUCUUGCAUUGUUGGACUGCACAAGUGUAGUAAUGUUGGAUUUUACUGCUCUAUAUCAACUUGUGAUGAAACGUGGUGACAUCAGCAGAGACAAAGGUCCAUUUCGUAUAAAGCUUGCAAAAACACCAAGUGCUUGUUUGGUCAUUCAGAACACAGAGCUGGGGAAAACAACUUGCUCAGUUCACAGCCCUGAAACCUCUGGAGAUGCGUGGCUGGGUUAUUUCCUUGAUAUUCUGUGAUAUUAUGACCUGUUCUAAUAGCACAGGAUCAUAGAACUGUAGGAGUUGGAAGGGAGGAUUAUUGAGUUCCAGCCCCUGCUAAAGCAGAUUCCAUACAGGAGGUUGCACAGAACAGCAUCCAGACCCAAAGAAGGAGACUCCACAACCUCUGUGAUCAGCCUGUCACAUUUAAGCAGUUUAUAGUUAUCAAGAUUUAAGAUUUUCCUCCCGAAGUCAAUUGGUUUCAUAGUAGACCCCAACAAAUCAGUAUUUUUGUUUUGCUGAAAUGGAGUGUGAUAUCAUUUUAAUGGCUCCUUUCUGAAAACCUUGAAAGCUGCUUAAGAAACAGAUUCACAGUGUAUGGGCUCGAAAACUAUCCCGUUCUGGUACACUUGAAGUUGUCGAGCACAGAGUGCAUAAUUUAGAAUUGAAAAGAAAAAGAUGUAUCUGUGAAUUAAGGACUGCAAUACAGGAGCUAUCAACCACCAAGAGGCUCUUUUAACCUCAGCAGAGCUGUGCUCUUUAAUGUGUUUUUGUGGGGAAGAAGAAUAAAAAGGAAAUCUGAGAAAACUGAUCUUUAUUUUUAGAAAAAUAAUUUCUUUUUGCUAAGGAGGACUUUUUAUUUUCUGUGCUCUAAAUAAAGCAGUGAUAUGGUCCUGUUGUGCCUCAGGCUAUCCGCUUAAAAGAAAAGGCUCCAAAGAUGGACCAUCUGGAAGCCUGUGCAAGAGCACGCCAGUGCUGUUUGAUGUGGAAGAGCAUCCUUUGGAUGUAUUUUUGAACACUGCUCAAUCCGCUGAAGUUUUUUUUUGUGUGUGUUGAGCUGAUGGGAACAUCUCAGAGGAUUUUGCUUCAUGUGUUAAUGCUGCUUGCUUCUUUUUUCAUUAAAUGAAAGCUGGGAAGCAGUGUUUCUCUCUAGAAGCACUUUCGAGAUCUGCAGGUGAUCACAACGCAAAGGGAGUCAGUUGCACAUUCUUGGCCAGAUCUGCUCUUUCCAGGGCACAACAAGAACUUCCUCCUCUUCCCAUUUUUUUCUGGGAUGCCUGGGAUCUCCUUGGUUCCUGCAAGGCCAAAAAAGUUCUCUGUUUUGUUGUUGUGGUGGUGUUUUUUUGUUCAGGACUUUGCCUGAUGUACUUUGUUUCAGUGCUGCAUCUGAGAUGAGGAGAAAUUCACCCCUGGUUCUGGGAUAAGGGGUUCACCCCCACCCCAUGCAGUGUUUCUCUGAGCUUAUGUUCUCAGAUGUUCAAGUCCCAUCCCUGCACAUACCGGUGCCCUUUUGGCUCAACCUGCACAUCUGACAGCCUAUGCACUUUGCCCUCCCAUUAAGAGGCUACUCGUGUAAGGAAUUAGGGUCUUGUAGUUACAAGCUUCUGCAGGGAAACAAAACCACUCUUUUCUUUAGAUGAAUGUUGGACAACUCUUUUUUGUUUGUUUGUUUUGAUGGAAACUUGUGAAAUAAGCAAGAUCAUCUCCACCUCCUAAAAGGAGCUCUCAGUGCUUCGUGCAGCCUCCAAGAGAUUACUUUUGUUUUUAUUUGGGGGGGGGAGGGUCAGGGAUGUGGGCCAAAGUGGGACGUUUGCGAGCUGGUGAAUCUUCUGAAAAGGACAAGUGUAGGCACUUUGUCUCCUCUCAGCAUGGCCAGCGUGGAAAGCAGUGAAGGACUAAAGGACAUCGCAGUGUCGUGGACAUUCGUGCCACUAACUGCUGUUGCUUUCACCAGCCAUAUGUACAGCUGCGUUCUUUUUAUAGUGCUGCAUAUGGCACUAUCGUAAUUGAAUUUUUCUUAAUAAUUGAUCUGACCUGUAUCAUUCUGUUCAUUUUAGGAGAGCUAAUUCAAGCAGAUUGAGAUUAGGACUAAAAAUAUGGUUUGGUUAGCGGAGGAACCAUAAAGAGCGCGACUUCACAGUAAUGAUGACACACAAUCUGUUUUACCCAGAUAGGCUCAUACUAUUUAUAUGUAGCACACUGUCAAGGCUGGUGCCUUGUCUGCCUUGCAGUAGCUGUGAUACAUGGAGUAGUGGCAGUCCUGUGCUGAAGAGCACUCUAAUUCCAUGUUUUGGGACCUUCCCACCUUAUCACUUCCUCUAGCAAGGCUGUGGGGUCCAAGAUUGCAGCUGAUGGCCCUGUCUCUGUUGUAGUAACUCUCCAACUUGCCCAUCCAUGUGAGGAAUUGAAUCUGCACUGUCCCAGCCCUGGGCAGGGGAAACGCGAGUCUCUAGCAUGGUGAGCUUAGCUUCUCACAGCAAGCUAUGGAAAUAGCAAUGAAAUUGGAAUAGGUGAGCUGGAUCCUGCCUCAUGUUUAGAAAUGAAAACCCUAGGGUAGUCUCUGAAUUGCCCUUUGCUGAAAAGGAUUUUGGCUGUUUGGUUCAGACUCCCGAAUGUAGGAACGGCGGAGGUGGGACUGCAGACAACUAAGAAAGUUAGAAACGGCCCAUACGAUUAGGAUGCUGCAAAACGAGUGGCAGCUCUUUCUCUCCCAGAGCUCUCGGCUGCAGCUGAGUAUCUGGACCAGACGUUAUUUUUGGCAAGAGGAAAAAAUACAUCUCCCUUGAUACUGUGCAAAAAAAAUGAAAGUAAAUGUUGAGACAUACACGAGGGCAAGGAUCUCCUCUGUUGUGUGGCAGCAGUGCUUUUAGAACUGAAAUCCACUUGCUUUGAUCACUGAUUAAAAAAAAUGGACAUAAAAGGGAUUUAUUGUGAAAUAAUGGAUUUGAUCCCCAGUAAUCCUUUCUUUGGGAUUAGACUUGGAAUAUUAUUUUUGUGAUCUGUGGAAUUAGACCAUGCUGGCAUGACAGACCAAAGCACGUGAGUUUAACUGCAGGAUGAGGCUGAGCUGCAAACAGAGUGAAUUACUUGCACAGAACAAAGCAGCUGAUAAAUCUACAGCUCUGUAUUUAAUGACGCAAGAUCCACAUGCAAGCAUAGAAACAGAAAAAAAAAAUCCUAAACUGAAGGCAGGAAAGACCCCUUCUUCCCAGCUGACACUGCAGAGAAACACUGUGAUCACAGAAUCAUUGAAUCAUAGAAUGGCUUGGGUUGGAAGGGACCUCAAGGAUCACCGAACUCCAACCCCUGUACCAUAGGCGAGGUUGCCAACUGCGUGAUCUCUGUGGACUGCUGGCUAGAGCUUCUGGUUUGAGUAUUUUCUGCCACAAGAACUACAAUUUAUAGCUGCUCCCAAUGGAAUGACUGAGGGACUUAGAAUGUCGGUGCAAACUCGGUGCAGGUCUUCAUGUAUGGCCACAAUACUUCCCAGUGAGAUUUGGCAAGCCCCAGGCUCGCUGCCCAAACAGUGCCUGCGUGCACAGCUCCUUGGUCUCCCAGCACACUGCUGAUUUGGCCUGAUGUGUGCUGAGAAGUCCUCCUGAGUGGUUCGUUAUGGGUAUAUUAUAACAAAAUAGGUACAAAAUGUGCUAUGAAUCCCUGGUAUGUAACUUUGAAGUCCCAAACCUUUCACAAAAAGCAACUGCAAGGAACUCCUCUCACUUCUCCUGCCAGAUUUUGACUCUGAACUCAAAGUGGGGCUGGAGAUGGCUUUUAAAACAGAGGGAGAGUUCCUUUGUGUUGUGCUCUGAAUCAGCUGAUCUUCAAAACAAAACAAAACAAAACACAAAAGCUGUGGGACAGAGAGCAAGCGAAGGAAAGGUAAAAUAUCCCCUGCCAGACCCAUUCCUGCUUUCGCUGCUGGACUCACAGCCACACUUCUGUUUGCAAAGGUCACUCCUGCAGCAGGACAUGGCCCAGGCUCCUGCCUUGCACAGCCGUGGGAGCUGCUGGGCACAUCAGUACCCCUAAGCAUAACCCAG